AUCUACGGCCAUGCCACCCUGAACAUGCCUGAUCUCAGAAGCUAAGUAGGGUCGAGCCUAGUUAGUACUUGGAUGGGAGACCACCUGGGGAUACCGGGGGCUAUAGGCG
rnacentral:rRNA from 1 species